rnacentral:lncRNA from 1 species
AUCUUAAGUUGGUUGCACAGUCAGUCACAGACAGACAUGACAUUACACGUCGUACUCGUAACUUUCAUAAGUUACUUAAAAAGUUUAACAACGGAGAUCGGAUAACAAGUUAACUGCUUUUAAAUAAUUUCAGCUGAAGUUUUCGUGUACCUUGCCAACUAUAGGUGCUCAUGAGUUGUGACAAUAGAAAUGAAAUGGUCUAAUCCAAUAAUGCAAGCUCACAAGUCACAACCUAAUAUGUCUUCUGAAGAAAAAUCAAGUCUGUUGCAGUUGUAAAUCUUCAAGAUAUUGAUGCCUUCGCCAGAUCCAAUUCUUUGUUGCUGACGAGAAAGAGAAUUCAUAAUUUUGUGUGCAACAGACCGAAUGAGAACCAUUUUGUUGCCCAUCCAAGGAUCAGGAAAAGGCCAACACCACCAACACGGUCAACAAGGUUCUUUGUUUGUUUACCUCCUUGGCUGGUGAAAGAUUGUUGUGCAUCAAGUUAACCUGUGGCUGUUCCUUGUUGCUGGUGUCUUAUUAUGGAAGUUGCAGGCAGUAUUUUGUUCAAUUUGCAUUAUGUCUGUAGAUUUACAGCUAGUUUAAGUCUUCUUCAAGCUUCACCUUCUUCUUCGUUCCAGUCAAAUUCACACAUGGAUUUUUCAGCCAGUCUGUUGAAUUUGACAUGUACAAUUUUCUUUUUGGUAAAAUUAUGAUUAGGCUUAACUCUUGUAAAUACCAUAAAGUGACAUUUA